UACGAAGGGGGCUAGCGUUGCUCGGAAUCACUGGGCGUAAAGGGUGCGUAGGCGGGUCUUUAGGUCAGGGGUGAAAUCCUGGAGCUCAACUCCAGAACUGCCUUUGAUACUGGAGAGCUUGAGUCCGGAAGAGGUGAGUGGAACUCCGAGUGUAGAGGUGAAAUUCGUAGAUAUUCGGAAGAACACCAGUGGCGAAGGCGGCUCACUGGUCCGGUACUGACGCUGAUGUGCGAAAGCCAGGGGAGCGAACGGG
rnacentral:rRNA from 1 species